GUUCUCUGCAACUCGAGAGCAUGAAGGCGGAAUAGCUAGUAAUCGUGGAUCAGCAUGCCACGGUGAAUACGUUCCCAGGCCUUGUACACACCGCCCGUCACAUCAUGGGAGUUGGGUUCACCCGAAGGCAGUGCGCUAACCGCAAGGAGGCAGCUGACCACGGUGGGCUUAGCGACUGGGAUGAAGUCGUAACAAGGUAGCCGUAGGGGAACCUGCGGCUGGAUCACCUCCUUUCUAAGG
rnacentral:rRNA from 1 species